GGCGGCGUGCUUAACACAUGCAAGUCGAGCGAUGAAGCACCUUCGGGUGUGAAUUAGCGGCGAACGGGUGAGGAACACGUGAGAAAUCUGCCUUCAACACUGGGAUAACUCCGGGAAAUUGGUGCUAAUACCGGAUAUGACCCCUGGCGGCAUCGCUGGGGGUGGAAAGUUUUUCGGUCAAGGAUGAGCUCGCGGCCUAUCAGCUAGUUGGUGAGGUAAUGGCUCACCAAGGCGACGACGGGUAGCCGGCCUGAGAGGGCGACCGGCCACACUGGGACUGAGACACGGCCCAGACUCCUACGGGAGGCAGCAGUGGGGAAUAUUGGGCAAUGGAGGAAACUCUGACCCAGCGACGCCGCGUGCGGGAUGAAGGCCUUCGGGUUGUAAACCGCUUUCAGCAGGGAAGAAGCGAAAGUGACGGUACCUGCAGAAGAAGCACCGGCUAACUAUGUG
rnacentral:rRNA from 1 species